CUUCAAGGAGGUAAAGAAGCACCACAGGGCCCUGCUGAGGAUGCUAAUAUGCCACCAUUGUCGGAGUCUUAGAGCGUGAGGACGCAGCGGAUGCUGAAACACAAAAGAAGGAAGAGGAAAAUACUAUCACAGUCUCAUUUGAGAUCAUACACUCAAGGACCUAAGGACUUUGCAGAAGGCCUCACCUCCAGAACUUCUCAGUAGCACCAUUCUGGGCACCUCUGACCUACAGACCGGGGGGACCUUCAACAUCCAUACCACAGAAACAAUACAAUAUCUGAUGAUUGCAUAAUUGGUAAAUCUGCUGGUUCCGUCCAACAUUAAUCCAGUUGGAGAGAGAAUACUGCUCCCCAGACACAGCAACAAGGAAGAGAAAUGAAAAGACGUUACCAGAGUUGAGUCAACCCCUGCACCCAGGAAAGCACGUGAGAAUCUUGGCCAAGAGAAAGCGUGUUGAAAGCAGGAGGAGGAUUAUUUGAGAAGAGGAAGAUGGCCAGUAGAAGUGGGAAAAGGGUCUGGGGAGGGUAAUGGGAGUGAAUCAUAUCGAAGCAUAUCACAUACAGGUCUGAGAAUGUCACAAUGAAACCUGUAAUUUUGUACAAUGAACAACCACUAAUAAAAAGAAGCAACACUGGACUAAACUCUCGUUUAAUAAAUUUAACUCUGGUACAUAUUCAAUA